rnacentral:rRNA from 1 species
AUGCUGACUGAUGACAUAUUAUUAUCUAUCUUGGGGAGAGUUGACACAGCCACGGCAACACGAACUAGCGUGUUGUCAAAGCGGUGGAGAGAUUUGCCAUGGUUGCUUCCUGUGCUCAACCUUCGUGUCUGGGAUUUUCUGCCCCAUUCAUGCCCAGAACCCAUUGCAGCACAUCACAUGGAUCAAGCAAUGUCACGUCUAACCAAAGCAACUAGGAGUUUGUUGGCUGACCCAAACAGCAAAUCCACCAUCAUCAAAAGGCUAAGCCUUCAGCUCUAUGUGACCGGCGAUUACGCACUUGAGAUUGGCUCACUGGCUUGCGACGCGAUUGAUUGCGGGGUAGUAAAAAACAUGUGCCUUGCAAUUGUUGAUGAGAAGGAUCCUAGAGACUGUGAACAUGAGUAUAUGCUACAGCAAGCCCUGGCCGUCGAUGGGUUUUUAACAGCCUAUCCUAGUGUGUUUCAGUGCCUCACAAAGCUCCGUCUGUAUAAUGUGUGGUUUGCUGAGUGGGAUAUGCAACACCUCCUGUUUGACUCCUGCAAGCAACUCAAGCAAUUAUCUCUGUCCCACUGUGAUGUUGGGGACUCUUCAGUAUGGCAGAUAAAUGCACCAGAUUCCAAACUCAGAAUCCUUGAAGUCCGCAUGUCCUGCUUGAAGAGAAUUGAGGUGCUCUGCCUACCAAAACUGAAGCAUCUAAGUUGGGACGAGUGGUUUUGUUUCGAGGCCCCCUUGCGUUUUGGUUCUGUUCCAUCCCUCAAGGUGCAGGGCCUUAUUUGUGGUGCAACCAUUGAUCAUCAGGAGUUUAGUCUGAGCCAGGUUCUACAUGGUACCAGAAACAUCCAUACUCUUCCCCUAGCUCGACGGCGGAGGCCGAAUCAAUGGCGGCGGCGAGCAAUAUGGCGGAGUUUGCAGACCUACGCCACAACGGGCUUGAAUUUCUGCUGGAUCCGCUUGACAGAGGUUCCCGCUUGGAGAGGUCACUGCGGAUGUUGA